GCAGUCGAACGAUGAAGCUUCUUCGGAAGUGUAUGAAGUGGCGUAAGGGCGAGGAAUAUAUUUCUAUGUACCCCAAAGUCAAGGAUAGCCCAGGGAAACUUGGUGUAAUACUUGAUGUGGUCUCCGGAUCAAAGAUUUAUCGCUUUGGGAGCAGGGAAUAUCCUAUCAGGUAGUUGGUGAGGUAACGGCUCACCAAGCCAAAGACGGGUAGCGGGUGUGAGAGCAUGACCCGCCGCAUCGGGACUGAGACACUGCCCGGACUCCUACGGGAGGCUGCAGUAACGAAUAUUCCGCAAUGAGCGAAAGCUUGACGGAGCAAUGCCGCGUGUAGGAUGAAUCUCCUCGGAGUGUAAACUACUGUCAGAGACUAGGAACUCAAUGACCAAUCUCAAAGGAAGGGCCGGCUAACUUCGUGCCAGCAGCCGCGGUAAUACGAAGGGCCCGAGCGUUAUUCGGAAUCACUGGGCUUAAAGCGUGCGUAGGCGGACUUGUAGGCGUUUUGUGAAAUCCCUCGGCUCAACCGAGGAACUGCAGAGCGAACCCCAAGCCUUGAGACAGAUAGAGGUUGUCGGAACGAUUGGUGGAGUGGUGAAAUGCGUUGAUAUCAAUCGGAACGCCAAAUGAGAAGUCAGGCAACUGGAUCUGUUCUGACGCUGAGGCACGAAAGCGUGGGUAGCGAACGGGAUUAGAUACCCCGGGUAGUCCACGCC
rnacentral:rRNA from 1 species